rnacentral:sRNA from 1 species
UCACUGAGGACAAUGACAGCAAUCAGUCGCUACAUGGAGCUGACCAUCGAGCCUGUGCAGCAGGCAGGCUGCAGUGCCACCAGGCUGCCAGGUGACGGACAGAUGAGCGCCGGAGAUGCGUCCCUGCGGGAGCCCCCGUCGUACCCUCCCGUUCAGGUCAUCCGGGCCCGGGUGUCUUCCGGCAGCUCCUCUGAGGUCUCCUCCAUCAACUCCGACCUGGAGCCUCUGGGAUUCAAGAAAAGGUUCAGUCCACCUUUGUGACAAAAGUACAUUUAUAGACAGCAUCUAGUCAAUUUUUCCCUUCUGUGCUUCCCAGCAUUGCAAGAGACGGGGUAUAAGCUUUAUAGGAAUUCUGCAAGGAGGCUGUUUCUGUCAUUGGAACAGAGUCUGCAUAGUGAAGAACGCCUGUGCCUGGAGCCAGUGCAGUCCUGUGUGGGUGUGCGUGUGCAUGCCCAUGUGUGGGUGUACCUGUGUGGGCCAUGAGAACAGUGCUAAAUGCCAGAUUGCUCUGUCUGAAGAGGGCCAAGUCCCAGGCCCGUGUGUUCCUGUUAAUUCUGUGCCUAAGGCUCUUGAUAACCCAACUGCUUGUUCUCUCUCCAAACUUUCUGGCACCAGCAGAUAAGGGCAUAUUCCCCUGGAUGUCUGCCCUUUUUAAAGCCAAAUCA